rnacentral:lncRNA from 1 species
CUGGAUUGGAGGAAGUUUGACCCUCGGUUCUCUCUCUCCCUCUCUCGAUUGGUCUUGAAGUGAGGCUGGAAGAUAAACUAAGUCCUCACCUCUCUCUCUCUCGUCGUUAUUUCCAAAGAAGCUGAUCACUCACAGCUCACGGCCAAGUGCAGUUGGUGAUUCUGAUUUGAUGAGUUGCGACUGGGAGGUGAAGUGCAGUUUGGUUGAGGUUGCAGUCGUGAAGCCGGGUGCAAAUGGAGGUGCAGAAUGUGUGGAGUUUUGCUCACGGUUUCUCUUUGCCUUUCCUCCAACUUACGGUCAGAACAAAACGAAAAGAAGAUUGCAGCUCGCGUUCCCUCCCUUGCUCUUGGAUGCUUCACGAUGAAAAUGAAAAAUGCCGUGGUUUGCGGUGCAGAAAAAAAAUAGAGGAAUGGUGCCGUGAUUUUGAGGAUGUUUGAAUGUCGAGGUCGGUUGAGUGUUGAGUUGGUAUUGAAUUUUGAUUGGCUGCAUUGUGCGGUGCUGAAGCUGCUGUCCCAGGAGUUAUUUGUGCAGAGCAGAAAGGAAGUUGCGGUUUGUGGUUUGUGCAGAGCAGAAAGGAAGUUGCGGUUUUUUUUUUUUUUAAUUAAUUAAUUAGUUAAUUAAACAACAAAAAUGAUAAUAAUAAAACAAUAAUAAUUAAUGAUGAAAACAACUUAAUUAACAUUAGAUAAAAAUAAACUAAAAACAACAAAAAUAAACAAAUUUCCAUUUUUCAUUUUCAUUUUUUCUUUUCUUUUGUUUUCGAAAUAACCUAACCAAAAAAUAAAUAAAGUCAAAAGAUUGAAUUUAAAAAGAAAUAAACAUAUUUUGUGAACAAUUUUCUUCCCUUUCCUUUUUUUCUUUUUCCAAGACAAAAAUUGAAUUUUAAAACAACUAAAACAUAUUUUCUUUUCUUUUUAGAAAUUCUACAUUAAAAAGACUAAAAAUAAUAAAAAAAAUAAAACAAGUAAACGACUAAAGAAAAUAAAAAGAAUAACUAAGAUAAACUAGCAUGAACAUAAAUAAAUAAAUCGUACCAAAAUUUGGUGUCUACAGUUUGCCCCUCUUUGUCUGAGUUUUGGAAAAACUUGAGACAAAGAAGUAGACACCAAACACUUACCUGUGUCAUUCGGUCACGAACGACUCGAACGACUGCCAUUUUUUGAAAAUGAGGACUGACCUCUUUUGAAAGAAAAAUUUAACAAGGAAUUGACUGAGACAAGAAAUUUAAAGCGGGACUGACCCGAACAAGAAUUUAAACGGGACUGAUCCGAACAGAAAUUUAAACGGGACUGACCCGGACAGGAAAUUAAAAUUGGGACUGACUAGAGAAGGAAAUUUAAAUCAUGGGACUAGCCCGCAUAAGCUUUAAUCGCGGGACUGACCCGAAUAAGCUUUGAAUCGCGGGACUGACCCGAACAGGCUUUGAAUUGUGGGACUGACCCGCAUAAGCUUUGAAUCGUGGGACUGACCCGAAUAAGCUUUUGAUCAUGGGACUGACCCGUAUAAGCUUUUGAUCAUGGGACUGACCCGAAUAAGCUUUUGAUCAUGGGACUGACCCGAAUAAUGCUUUUGAUCGUGGGACUGACCCGAAAAUGCUUUUGGUCAUGGGACUGACCCGAAAAUCCUUUUGAUCGUGGGACUGACCCGAAAAUGCUUUUGAUCAUG